AAGGAAUAUUGGUCAAUGGACGCAAGUCUGAACCAGCCAUGCCGCGUGAAGGAUGAAGGUCCUCUGGAUUGUAAACUUCUUUUAUCUGGGACGAAAACGGGAUUUUUAUCUCAAUUGACGGUACCAGAGGAAUAAGCACCGGCUAACUCCGUGCCAGCAGCCGCGGUAAUACGGAGGGUGCGAGCGUUAUCCGGAUUUACUGGGUUUAAAGGGUGCGUAGGUGGGCUUAUAAGUCAGUGGUGAAAUCUCCGAGCUUAACUUGGAAACUGCCGUUGAUACUAUAGGUCUUGAAUUAUCUGGAGGUAAGCGGAAUAUGUCAUGUAGCGGUGAAAUGCUUAGAUAUGACAUAGAACAACAAUUGCGAAGGCAGCUUACUACAUAUAAAUUGACGCUGAGGCACGAAAGCGUGGGGAUCAAAC
rnacentral:rRNA from 1 species